GCUAGGUGUGGUGGCGCGCACCUGUAAUCCCAGCUGCUCGGGAGGCUGAGGCAGGAGAAUUGCUUGAAUCCGGGAGGUGAAGGCUGCAGUGAGCUGAGAUCGCACCACUGCACUCCAGCCUGGGGGACAGAGCAAGACCCUGUCUCAA
ensembl:misc_RNA Metazoa_SRP Metazoan signal recognition particle RNA